UGCAGUUUAUAUGAGCACACAUAAUCUCUCUCAAGCACUCACACUCUCAAUCUCUCAUCCUUUCUAUACCAGUCGACCAUCUCUCUUAAACUCUCAUCCUCUAAAACUAAUUCAUUCUCUCAAAUUCAACGAAGCUGACUCUAUCAUUUUCUUAAAUUCAACGACGCUGACCCUAUCAUCCUCUCAGACUCAACGCCACUGUUGCUCAGAUUUAUCACUCCCAUUCGAAAGCUCGUUACUGUGUUUUCUACCUCAACCUUCUAUUUGUUUUGUUUUUAAGCUUUGAUUCUUGUUCGUCAUUUGUUAGUUUGGUAUUUUCUAUGUGUUUGAUUUGGAUAUUAUUAAAAAAAAUUGUAAUAAUGAUUCUUUUUUACUUAUAUCUUUUUUUUUUAUAAGGGAUGCUUGGAAUUUGCUUUUUCCUUCGCUUUCCUCGGAGGAAUAUUCGCAUCUUUUGAAUUUGGUUUUCUAUCAGUGAAAGAGUUGCGAUCCGUAUAUCAUUGAUAAUCUCACCAAAAGAGGCGGCAAGAUUCCUCCUUCUCAAGCGACCCACGACGCCAGCAAGAAGCUUUUACUUCCGUAAUCAGCCACCACAAACCCAGCAAGGAGAGAACUCCAUGAACGCCAGCGAGAAACCUCCAUGGACGCCGCCAUGAACUACUUGCUCUCUCCUUCCCAGGCGGCAAUACCACUCUUUCUCAGGCGACCUAUGGCGCCGAUUACAGCCAAUCUCGACCUGAAACAACACGACAGCUGUAGCCGAUCUAGAUCUGGUUUCACUUAUAUUUGUUUGUUGAUGUGCAUUCAACGUAAGUUCACCACAAAAAGCAACGAUAAAUCAACAGUGAUCUCUGAUGUCGUGUUGUUUUUGUAUUGCGGCAUCUGAUGUCGUAUUAUUUUUGUGUUGUGACCUCUGAUGUUGUAUUGUUUUUAUGUUGCGAUCUCUGAUGUCAUAUUAUUUUUGUGUUGCAAGAUCACCACAAAAUCAACAGUGGUCAUGGAUGAUUGUGUUGUUGAUAAAAUCCGAAGAAGAAGAUAAAUAAAAUAAAUAAUGAAAGAAAGAGAUGGAGAGAGUGGUCUUGGGCACAAGAAAAGAAAAAAGAAAGAUAAUGAGUACUAAGCAUCAAAAAAGAAAAGAAAAAAGCUAAGAAGGAAUAAAGUAAAAAAAACACCACAAGAUGUCGAAAACUCAUAAAUGUAUGUAGCUUGUUUUUAUUGAAAGAAACAAAUAUU